rnacentral:rRNA from 1 species
ACGAACGCUGGCGGCGUGCCUAAUACAUGCAAGUCGAGCGGACGAAUCGAAAGCUUGCUUUUGAUUCGUUAGCGGCGGACGGGUGAGUAACACGUGGGCAACCUGCCCUGUAGACGGGGAUAACACCGAGAAAUCGGUGCUAAUACCGGAUAACACGAAAUGUCGCAUGACGUUUCGUUGAAAGACGGCGCAAGCUGUCGCUACAGGAUGGGCCCGCGGCGCAUUAGCUAGUUGGUGAGGUAACGGCUCACCAAGGCGACGAUGCGUAGCCGACCUGAGAGGGUGAUCGGCCACACUGGGACUGAGACACGGCCCAGACUCCUACGGGAGGCAGCAGUAGGGAAUCUUCCGCAAUGGACGAAAGUCUGACGGAGCAACGCCGCGUGAGCGAAGAAGGCCUUCGGGUCGUAAAGCUCUGUUGUUAGGGAAGAACAAGUAACGCAGUAACUGGCGUUACCGUGACGGUGCCUAACGAGAAAGCCACGGCUAACUACGUG